UGUGCUUGUAUCUCACUGAACAGGGUCCGUCUGGCUGCUGGGUUCCCACCAAAUGCAAAGGGCUCUGCAAGAACCAGAUGCAAAUAUUUAUCAAGUGCAGUGACCACAUAAAUAAAAUGCGCAAUGCUGGUGCAUUCAUAGCCACAGUGGCCUUGUUUGGAGGCGGACCGGGGAGGAGGAAUAUCGGGUGAAUCGAAGUGAAUGAAUUAAAGCGCGGAGGGCAAGGCGCUUCCUGGCUUUCUGUAAUAUUGCGGCUGCGGAGCUCACACACUUCAAGAACAUGUCUGGAAGUUGGGAUCCGUAUUCAAAUCCUUCGUCAUACGUUGUGAACUUCUCCAGGAACUCCUGCCUGGUGAGAGCGCUAUUAGGGGAGU